UAGGUGAACCUGCGGAAGGAUCAUUACC
rnacentral:rRNA from 4 species